rnacentral:rRNA from 1 species
AGCUUGCUUUCUUGCUGACGAGUGGCGGACGGGUGAGUAAUGCUUGGGAAUCUGGCUUAUGGAGGGGGAUAACGACGGGAAACUGUCGCUAAUACCGCGUAUUAUCGGAAGAUGAAAGUGCGGGACUGAGAGGCCGCAUGCCAUAGGAUGAGCCCAAGUGGGAUUAGGUAGUUGGUGGGGUAAAGGCCUACCAAGCCAGCGAUCUCUAGCUGGUCUGAGAGGAUGACCAGCCACACUGGAACUGAGACACGGUCCAGACUCCUACGGGAGGCAGCAGUGGGGAAUAUUGCGCAAUGGGGGGAACCCUGACGCAGCCAUGCCGCGUGAAUGAAGAAGGCCUUCGGGUUGUAAAGUUCUUUCGGUAUUGAGGAAGGUUGAUGUGUUAAUAGCACACCAAAUUGACGUUAAAUACAGAAGAAGCACCGGCUAACUCCGUGCCAGCAGCCGCGGUAAUACGGAGGGUGCGAGCGUUAAUCGGAAUAACUGGGCGUAAAGGGCACGCAGGCGGUUAUUUAAGUGAGGUGUGAAAGCCCCGGGCUUAACCUGGGAAUUGCAUUUCAGACUGGGUAACUAGAGUACUUUAGGGAGGGGUAGAAUUCCACGUGUAGCGGUGAAAUGCGUAGAGAUGUGGAGGAAUACCGAAGGCGAAGGCAGCCCCUUGGGAAUGUACUGACGCUCAUGUGCGAAAGCGUGGGGAGCAAACAGGAUUAGAUACCCUGGUAGUCCACGCUGUAAACGCUGUCGAUUUGGGGGUUGGGGUUUAACUCUGGCGCCCGUAG